UUUCUUCAUCUGAUGAAUACAUGUUAUCAGAAUAUGUUUUUUUUCUAGAACAAAGAAAAGAGAACAACAUACACGUCAUUGCCGCUUGUGUGAUGUAGCAAAUACUCUUAUAAAUGGACAAUUCAUGGUAAGCUAUUUAUUUCUCCUAGAGACCUGCAAAAGUCAAACUGCUACAUUUGAAACAUGAAGGUAAAUGAUGACAGUUUUCAUUUGUUAAACCGUUUCUCUGGAGAGCACUUACUUAUGAACCCUUUUCCCAAGAAGUUCAGGCUCUGAAUUGAUGUCAGAUGUGUAGCUGGCCUUCUUCCAGUUCUUGGCAACAUUGUCAAAAGAUGCUGAUACAUGAGAUGUAAUAUGGUUAUUUUAUGUGAAAAAAAAACAUGAAAACAUGUACCAUUUAAUUUUGUUGUUUAACAAUUGGCAAAAUCAUGUUUAAUUUACAGUAUAAAAUUUUCUCCUCUUACCAGACUCAUGAAGAAUUCUUGUUUUGUGUCGGGUCCACCCUUUCUCUGGCUGUGGUUCCACCAUUACUUUAACACACUUCAGCAACUUGUCAGUGUCCUUAUAUGGUGGCCACCAGGAGUAGCCAUCCGAAUACCAGGACUUUGCAGCUGGUCCAGUCGUCCCUUCUCCCUCAAACUCCACGAUUAGAAAUUGACUGCUGUGGAGAGGUUGUCAACUACGUAGAUGCCAAGUGUAGAGGAUGGUAGGGGAUAGUCAAAAAAAGACUCCUGGUGGUUGAAUGUACUGUAGGCAACAAAUUUCAUCCCUGAAUGAAAUGAUGUUCUUCAGUUUAGCAGCUUUACCACUGAUGUAAACGAGACUGUUUACCUGAUCCAGCUUGAAAGUGUAAGGGCUUGUUCUUAAUUCUUUGUAUUGUGCUGCUUCAUGAAAAUUUGCAGGGAUAGGACCAGUUGCAUGCUGUUUUCUCAACAUGUAUGGUCUGGUUUUGUGAGUUUUUUUGCAGCAACUUUGCAUUUCAGAGAAUCUUCUGACUAUUUGACUCAGGGGGCACGUUGGUUUCCUCAGAAGUCUUUUCAGUUUGUACAGGUGAUUCUCGUAUUUGAAAGCGCUGAAUUUGACCAGGACGCCAUGCUGUUUUGCCUCGUCUGCAAGGUGUACAAGGCAGUGUGCAUUGUAGGACAGGAAUUUUGGACCAUACAGUUGACCAAAGUGGAUGACAAAUAGAACCAGUAUGUCAUUGGCGUAAUCACAGUAAUGUUCUAUUAAACUGUUGUUGCACAGGAUGAAAAUUCCCACAAAAAGCAACAUGAAGUUUUUGUACACUUCUGUGCUGAGGAGAUCUUUUAACAUGACAGGUCCGGUAUACAGUAAAAACUGCCUGAACUCUGUUGCCUUCCACCUAUCAAUUUCCCUCAGUGUCCUUGGUUUCCUUGCAAACUCCAUGGGCACAUUUCUCUGAGCAUUCACCAACCUUUCUGUUAAGGUGUUUAUUUGAAAUCCUGACAGUCUACAAGUAAGAGGACCUAACCUUAACCACAAGUGGAGAAGCCGUCUCAUGAUUCCAAGACAUACAAGGUGCAUGUAAUCGAGGGGGAACCCAGAGACCAUAUCUAGAGAAGUUUGUUCCAGAGGUACAUGCCUUCCUGUGUGCAUUUUUCACAUCCGUGAUAGCCUGUGUGUCCUUUAACAUUUUUAAGGAAUGCACGGGCAGGUGCGUCACAAACCAUGCAAGAGAGCUGUAAAAACAACUUCACUCCUUCAAAUUCAAAUCCCUUAGCAAGUUCAUUGACUUCAGAGAUGAAGUCUUCAAGAUACUCAUCCAAUGAGGUGGGUUUACAGGUGCCACAAAAUAAACCUAUUGUCACAGGUUCUUUGUGAGGUAGAUUUUGCACUGUACCUAGAAUGGGCCAGAACUGUUUUGCUGAACUUUUGAAGAGAGGCAAACCAUCAAUGUUGACCUGAAGCUCCAACUUGUUGAUGUUGCUCAAAAUGUAGAUGUUCUGGUGUAGCACUUCUGUGAUUGACUUCAGCACACCAUAAUGGUAAUAUUUGCCACUAGCCUUGUCCUGUAGUUCUGUGGAACGUACAGUUCCUAACAAUGUCCUAGAGUCUUUUGGCAGAGUUGAAUUGUGUUCGCGUAGUAUGUGAAGUAGAGAAUACAAUGCCACAUGUGUGAUUUUGUGUUCAGUAGCCCAGGUUGCCAAAUCAUCUUCCAGGGAAGUUGAAUCAGAUUCAGAUUCUGAAUCUGUGUCUGAUUAGCUGUCGUCAAGAACACUUGCCAUGUACUCGGUUUCGUCAAUUUGAGAGAGACAGUCCAUAAAUACAUCAUCAUCGUCAUUUUGACAGGUGCUGCUGCCAGACUCCUCUGCUAUUGGUGUUGCUUCUAUUGACUGCAGUUGUUUUUCCACUUUAUCUUUUGCCCUUCUCCUUAGUGUCCAGUAAAAUGGUUUAUUGCACGCCAUACUAUUAUGAUAUUAACACAAAUACAUUGUUGUUGUUUUUGUUUUAUUACUGACCUACCAAUGAUUGUAUAGUUACACAAAUGAUCAUCAUACCUUUGGUGGGUGGAUUGGUGGCUGUGGAUAACCUUCUGCAGUCAGACAGUGCUGAAAUGUAUAAAAUGUAUAUUAAUUUGUAUAAUGUAUAUCAUUUUCCAUUAGGUUUUUAUUUUACUGAAUUUUUUUUGAGAGAGAGAAUUAUGUACAUAUCGGUAUUGAUGAUGUAAAUCAAAGAUUCUUAUUAAUGUCACUUAAUCUUAUUAAAAUUGAAAGAAAAUGAUAACUGAGCAAGGUGCUUGUGCUAACACGUAUAAAUAAAUUAAAUAUCUUUUUCUAGCAUGUUCAUUGGUUAAGUUGUUAAAAACUAAUGGGGAAUGGCGUCAUUGUGAUACGGUCUGUUCGACAUGUGGCGCUGCACAAACCGAUCGGCCUGUGGCGUCACAGUACCGCGAGAGCAAUUUCAGAGGCGCGGGCAGGCUGCUUUGGAAUCGCUCUCGCGAUACUAUGAUGUCAUAUCCUGAUCAGUCUGCGCAAGGUUUCAAGAAGUCUAAACACCACGACGUACCUUGUGAUUUUCCGUACGGAUACACGCA